rnacentral:rRNA from 1 species
CCUACGGGAGGCUGCAGUGGGGAAUAUUGCACAAUGGGGGAAACCCUGAUGCAGCGACGCCGCGUGAGUGAAGAAGUAUUUCGGUACGUAAAGCUCUAUCAGCAGGGAAGAAAAUGACGGUACCUGACUAAGAAGCCCCGGAUAACUACGUGCCAGCAGCCGCGGUAAUACGUAGGGGGCAAGCGUUAUCCGGAUUUACUGGGUGGAAAGGGAGCGUAGACGGAAGCGCAAGUCUGGAGUGAAAUCCCAUGGAUUAACCAUGGACCUGCUUUGGAAACUGUGCAGCUGGAGUGCAGGAGAGGUAAGCGGAAUUCCUAGUGUAGCGGUGAAAUGCGUAGAUAUUAGGAGGAACACCAGUGGCGAAGGCGGCUUACUGGACUGUAACUGACGUUGAGGCUCGAAAGCGUGGGGAGCAAACAGGAUUAGAUACCCCUGUAGUC